rnacentral:rRNA from 1 species
GAUGAACGCUGGCGGUGUGCCUAAUACAUGCAAGUCGAGCGAACAGACGAGGAGCUUGUUCUUCUGACGUUAGCGGCGGACGGGCGAGUACCACGCGGAUAACCUACUUACAAGACUGGGAUAACUUCGGCAAACCGGAGCUAACACCGGAUAACAUGUCGAUCCGCUUGGCUUAACAGUGAAAGACGGUCUUGCUGUCACUUAUAGAUGGAUCCGCGCCGCAUUAGCUAGUUGGUAAGGUAACGGCUUACCAAGGCAACGAUGCGUAGCCGACCGGAGAGGGUGAUCGGCCACACUGGAACUGAGCCGCGGUCCGGACUCCUACGGGAGGCAGCGGUGGGGAAUCUUCCGCAGUGGGCGAAAGCCUGACGGGACAACGCCGCGUGAGUGAAGAGGGUCUUCGGAUCGUAAAACUCUGUUAUUAGGGAAGAACAAAUGUGUAAGUCACUAUGCACGUCUUGACGGUACCUUAUCAAAAAGCCACGGCUAACUACGUG